UGAAAUAUUUCACCGAUGGAACGUAUACGACUUCAAAUGCAAUUUAAAAAAAUGCGGCACGUCGUGUUGGUGCGUGCGCAACUUCAUGUCCCCCUCCCCGUCAAAUCCAUUCGUUUUGAAACUCAAAAUGGAGGGAAGCAACGUAAAAAAAGGAGGAAUCCUUAGUUUGUGUUUGUUGACGUUGCGGAUCCUAAUUUCAGGAUUGUCCGGUUAAAUCAAACAAGUUUUUAUGACAAGUGGGUGGUGGAGUUUUGCACUUUUAGUGCAGAGGUGAAAGUACAAGGAGCUAAAGUCCUAGGAUACCCCUGGGAUGCCGCCGUUGUCAGGAGGACUUGGUGAUCGCAUUGAGGAUUACGAGGUGUUAAAUCUUCUGGGGAAGGGCGGAUUCGCCAGUGUUUACAGGGCAAGAUGCCUCAGGACGGGAAUGGAAGUGGCGAUCAAAAUGAUCGACACAAAAAUGAUGCGAGCAGCUGGGAUGGCGGGUAGAGUAGCUCAGGAAGUUUCUAUUCACACUCGACUGAAGCAUCCUGCGAUACUGGAACUCUACACAUUUUUUGAGGACACUAAUUACGUCUAUAUGGUACUGGAGUUGUGUCAUAAUGGGGAAUUACAAAGAUUUCUGAAGGCUGAAUAUCCUCACGGAUUUCCUGAGGAUCAAGCUGCCCGAAUUAUUAAACAAGUAGUUCAGGGUCUUCUGUAUCUGCACGCUCACCAGAUCCUCCACAGGGACAUGUCCCUCUCGAAUUUAUUAUUGACACGAGACAUGCAGGUUAAAAUCGCAGACUUUGGUCUUGCAACACAGCUAACCAGACCCGAUGAAAAACACAUGACAAUGUGUGGAACUCCAAAUUACAUUUCUCCAGAGGUUGCGACUCGAUCAUCCCACGGAUUGGAGGCUGACGUCUGGGGUCUGGGAUGCCUGUUGUAUACUUUAUUAGUUGGGAGGCCUCCAUUUGAUACGGAUGCUGUCAAGAGUACUUUGACCAGAGUGGUAAUGGCUGAUUACAAAAUUCCUUCUUAUUUAUCUGAUGUCGCUCAGGAUUUGAUCGAACGGUUGCUGAAGAAAAAUCCGAUGGAGAGAAUUAAACUCAAAGAUAUACCGAAACAUCCUUUUAUCGUGUACCUGGAUAAAGAGAGACCUUAUCACGAUAAAGUAUUGCCAAGAGCAAUGUCUAGUGAUGUAAUGGUUGACUCAGGGCUAGGUCGAACACUUUCCUCUUGUGGUAGGAUGCCUCGACUUCGUUCUCGUUCCGAGGAACGAACCUCGACGGUUCCAGCUCUGAUCACCCCUGCCCGUCCCCAGUUCUCCACUCGCAGUGAUCCAAUUACUGAUCCCAACAUUUUGAACCAAAACCAUCGAAGAAAACAGACGAACAGCUCCACCGAUAAUUUAGUAUUAUCUGGAAUUCCCCGUCCUGGAAGCCGUGUAUUUUCCCAGAAUAUGCAAAUGUCUCAUCGACGUAGCAACGACGUGGGUCGAGAGGACACAGAUCGACAGAACAGUGAGAGGCAAAAACGCAGAGUGAAUCCAGCACCCACGAGCUGCCCCACAGAACCAGAAACUCAUACAAAACUUCAAAUCCCACCUCUCAAUACUGAACGAUUACUUCCAACUCGACAUCGAACUAAAAACUUUGUCUUGACGAUUUUAGACAGCGGAGAGGUCUGCAUCGAGUUUAUAAAGAAGAAAAAUUCAUCAAUAGACAGAAUUAAUGAGGUCUGCAGAAUAUCCAACGAUGGGCUUCGAAUUGUUCUGUAUAAACCUGAUAUCAGGGAAAUUGGGGAUCAACCCCCACCCCUGCCAUCUCGAGGGGCUGAUAAUAUUUAUUCCUACGAGAGUCUACCUUCUAGACAUCACCAGAAAUAUCUCUACGCAGCGAAGUUCGUGAAAAUGGUGAAGAUGAAGACUCCCAAGUUGACUCUCUACACACCAAAGGCCAAAUGUUUGUUCAUGGAAAAUGGACCUCAUCCAGAUUGCGAAUUGCAUUUUUAUGAUGGAAUUAAAGUGACGAAGGUCGAUGGGAUUAUCAAGUUGUUUCAGAAGGAGGGUGGAGGAAUUUUUAAUGAGGGAGAUGUGCCCAGGGAGCUGGAGGAGUAUUUAGAGAUCUAUCAGGAGUGCUAUCAGAGGUGUCUUCUGCUUGAGUCUUCACUGGCUUCUCUAGGAUCUGCUACUGGGCACUCGUACUUCCCAGCUAUUGUGGGACGACGACCUGUGCCAAUGGGCGAUGGGAGAUCUCAGGGGAAGGAGAACGUGUCGAGAACCACCUGCAGUCCCUUGGUUAUGCCUUCAUUUGAUGCUACAUGCUCAGUAGUCUCAGGCGUAACAACACGUUCACGGAAGAUGAAUUCAAUGCGUUUUCCUUCCUAUAAUUUCAACAAAGUGACUGUCCCUGGAGUUGGAGUUGCAAUUCAAAUGCCAUCCGGUGACAUCAAAGUGGAGUACAAAGACGGUUCAUCAUUGACCAUAAGUCCUCAAAGCGUUGGAGGAGGGAUAGUCUAUGAAAGUAUUACAGGAGCUAUCACCAGGUACUCCAGGAAUCACCAGUCCAACUCCGAAGUGCCUUAUACGGUUCGUGAAAAAUUGAAAGACCUACCGACUAUUAUAAAACAUCUCGCCCAACCAAAACACAGGAAUCUAAGAUAAUUUCAAUGACUAUAUAAUUGAUCAUAAGUGUAACGUUAAAUGUGUAUUAUAUACCUCAAUGAAUUGAGGGCAUAAUUUAUAGGAUUAUUUUUAUAUCAGAUUCAACCGCUUUACAGUACCUGAGGUUUAGGAAAAGGUCGAAUAAGAGUUUUUAAAAGUUUUUAAAUCUUCCUCUCGUCUAUUUGAAAACUCAAUUCAGGGGAGAAGUGAUUA